GGAGUAACUAGAUAGAUGAAUAAUUGGGAUGAAUAUGGGCUGGCUGGAUGGUUGGUUUAGUAGAACUUAAAUUUAAAAACGCUUAUCAGUCGUAUUUUUGCAGUUCGAUCGUGCGGUUGGAUCUCCUUCUGGUAGUAGUGUUAAAGUGGAAAAAAGUUUGAAAAAGUGUAAAAAAGUGAAAAUAAUAAUAAAAUUAAGUGAAAAUUGAAAAAAAAAACAACAAAAGCAAAUGUGAAUAAAAAAAAUUUU